GACGAACGCUGGCGGCGUGCUUAACACACGCAAGUCGAACGGAAAGGCCCUGCUUUUGUGGGGUGCUCGAGUGGCGAACGGGUGAGUAACACGUGAGUAACCUGCCCUUGACUUUGGGAUAACUUCAGGAAACUGGGGCUAAUACCGGAUAGGAGCUCCUGCCGCAUGGUGGGGGUUGGAAAGUUUCGGCGGUUGGGGAUGGACUCGCGGCUUAUCAGCUUGUUGGUGGGGUAGUGGCUUACCAAGGCUUUGACGGGUAGCCGGCCUGAGAGGGUGACCGGCCACAUUGGGACUGAGAUACGGCCCAGACUCCUACGGGAGGCAGCAGUGGGGAAUAUUGCACAAUGGGCGGAAGCCUGAUGCAGCAACGCCGCGUGCGGGAUGACGGCCUUCGGGUUGUAAACCGCUUUCGCCUGUGACGAAGCGUGAGUGACGGUAAUGGGUAAAGAAGCACCGGCUAACUACGUG
rnacentral:rRNA from 1 species